rnacentral:lncRNA from 10 species
UAAGCGAGGCGGGGAUUUUUCCCCCCUCUCUUCCGAGUCAUAAGUCUGACUUGGAAUCUAUAGCAACCAAAAUUAGACUAUAAAUCAUCUUAAUGGUGCUUUUCAGAGAAUUCUUUACUGGAUCAAUUCAGAUCAUACAAGGUGGCAAGCUUCUGAGCCCAGUCACUAAUAAUGGUAGUGUCAGAGAUGUAUGGCAAGGAAGAAAGGGGUUGGGGUAGAUGCUGUUGGAGUUAAUCUCUUUGAUGAUCGGCCACCAAACUUCAGCAGUGGAUUUCUUGUCUCAGCUCCAUCUCCCUUUCAGUUGCUCUCUGGAGUCAUCUCCCCGCAGGAGCUGCCUCAGACUCUUCAGAAAUAACCCAGCCCCACAAUUCUAGGAUCCCCUAGCACAUCAUAUCGUUGUGGGGUUACACACUGUGCUAUAACGCAGUAGUCCGGAAUUCAGCUACAGUACUCCAGAUCCGGUUUAAAUCUAACACUUAGUACCUGUUUGAUUUUAGUGAUGUAACUUCUCUAAGUCUCAGUUUACUCAGCAGCAAAAUGGGG